GUUCUUCUCAGGAAUUAGUGUUCGUCAAAAUCUCGAACAGGUGCAAACUGAGCUCCUUCAGCUAGCUGCUUUUGAAGGCGGAUAAUUUCGUCGGUCGCCAUCCUGAGCUUCCCCCUAUAGUCGUCCAUCUGCUUGCACCAACCGGUCCGGUAUGCGUUAUAGCUCGCCUCGGCAUCCUGGAGUUGUUGCUGAAGGUCGGAGAACU
rnacentral:lncRNA from 1 species